GGCAAAGGAUGUGCGUCUGCCCAGACAACCAGGAUGUUGGCUUAGAAGCAGCCAUGCAUUCAAAGAGUGCGUAACAGCUCACUGGUCGAGUGGACAUGCGCCGACAAUACACGGGGCUAAGCUGGACACCGAAGCGGCGGGAUUUUAAUUCAUUAGAAUCGGUAGGGGAGCUUCCCAUGGGCGGAGAAGCCGGAGGGCGACCGACGGUGGAGCGCAUGGGAGUGAGAAUGCUGGCAUGAGUAGCGAGAGACGAGAGAGUAACUCGUCCGCCGUGAACCCGAGGUUUCCUGGGCAAGGCUAAUCCUCCCAGGGUCAGUCGGGGGCUAAGGCGAGGCCGGUAGGCGUAGCCGACGCGCAGCAGGCAGACAUUCCUGCACCGCGCACGCGGCGCUACGACCGACGGGGCGACGGAUGGGGGUGGCUCGGCGGGGUUCUGGACGUCCCCGUGAUGGAGCGCGGCCCGCGGACCAGGGAAAUCCGGUCCGCAUUGAGGGCGAGGCUCCGGACGAAGCGAUCAAGCGAAGCGAGUGAGCCCGAGGUCCCUAGAAAAACCCCUAGGCAGGCGCGUGCGCGCCCGUACCGCAAACCGACACAGGUGGGUGGGUAGAACAUACCGAGGCGAUCGGGUCAACCAUGGUCAAGGAACUCGGCACAAUGGCCCCGUAACUUCGGGAGAAGGGGUGCCCGCGCGUACGUGAACCGGCUUGCCCGGGGAGCGGAGGCGGGCCGCAGUGGAGAGGCCCAAGCGACUGUUUACCAAAAACACAGGACUCUGCAGAAGCCGCAAGGCGACGUAUAGGGUCUGACGCCUGCCCGGUGCCGGAAGGUCACGCGGAGGAGUUAGCCGUAUCGGCGAAGCCCCGAAGCCAAGCCCCGGUAAACGGCGGCCGUAACUAUAACGGUCCUAAGGUAGCGAAAUUCCUUGUCGGGUAAGUUCCGACCUGCACGAAUGGCGUAACGACUUCCCCACUGUCUCGACCAGGAGCUCGGCGAAAUUGCAGUACGAGUAAAGAUGCUCGUUAAGCGCAGAAGGACGAAAAGACCCCGGGACCUUUACUAUACCUUGGUAUUGGCAUUCGGUGUGGAUUGUGUAGCAUAGGCGGGAGGCUUCGAAGCGGGUGCGCCAGCAUUCGUGGAGCCGCAAGGUGAAAUACCGCUCUGUUCUCGUUUGACGUCUAACCUCGACAAGUCAUCCUUGUCAGGGACAGUGCCUGGCGGGUAGUUUAACUGGGGCGGUUGCCUCCCAAAGAGUAACGGAGGCGCUCAAAGGUCCGCUCAGCCCGGUUGGCAAUCGGGUGUCGAGUGUAAUCGCACAAGCGGGCUUGACUGCGAGGACGACGGUCCGAGCAGGGACGAAAGUCGGAGAUAGUGAUCCGGUGCCGGCGCACGGGCGCGGCAUCGCUCAACGGAUAAAAGGUACCCCGGGGAUAACAGGCUGAUCAUUCCCAAGAGUCCAUAUCGACGGGAUGGUUUGGCACCUCGAUGUCGGCUCGUCGCAUCCUGGGGCUGGAGCAGGUCCCAAG
rnacentral:rRNA from 1 species